GACGAACGCUGGCGGCGUGCUUAACACAUGCAAGUCGAACGGUAAGGCCCUUCGGGGUACACGAGUGGCGAACGGGUGAGUAACACGUGGGUGAUCUGCCCUGCACUUCGGGAUAAGCCUGGGAAACUGGGUCUAAUACCGGAUAGGACCACUGCCUGCAUGGGUGGUGGUGGAAAGCUUUUGCGGUGUGGGAUGGGCCCGCGGCCUAUCAGCUUGUUGGUGGGGUGAUGGCCUACCAAGGCGACGACGGGUAGCCGGCCUGGGAGGGUGACCGGGCAGACUGGGACUGAGAUACGGCCCAGACUCCUACGGGCGGCAGCGGUGGGGAAUAUUGCACAAUGGGCGCAAGCCUGAUGCAGCGACGCCGCGUGAGGGAUGACGGCCUUCGGGUUGUAAACCUCUUUCAGCACCGACGAAGCGCAAGUGACGGUACCUAAAGAAGAAGCACCGGCUAACUACGUGCCAGCCGCCGCCGUAA
rnacentral:rRNA from 1 species